GCGCUCACUUCAGCAUCACAUAUACUAAAGUUAGAACAAUACAGAGAUUAGCAUGGUCCCUGCGCAAGGAUGGCAUGCAAAUUUGUGAAGCAUUCCAUAUUAAA
rnacentral:snRNA from 1 species